AGAGACUGGGAUAACACCUGGAAUCAGAUGCUAAUCCCGGAUAACAACACUAGACGCAUGUCUAGAGUUUGAAAGAUGGUUCUGCUAUCACUCUUGGAUGGACCUGCGGUGCAUUAGCUAGUUGGUAAGGUAACGGCUUACCAAGGCAAUGAUGCAUAGCCGAGUUGAGAGACUGAUCGCCCACAUCGGGAGUGAGACACGGCCCAAACUCCUACGGGAGGCAGCAGUAGGGAAUCUUCCACAAUGGACGAAAGUCUGAUGGAGCAACGCCGCGUGAGUGAAGAAGGGUUUCGGCUCGUAAAGCUCUGUUGGUAGUGAAGAAAGAUAGAGGUAGUAACUGGCCUUUAUUUGACGGUAAUUACUUAGAAAGUCACGGCUAACUACGUGCCAGCAGCCGCAGUAAUAUGUAGGUGGCAAGCGUUGUCCGGAUUUAUUGGGCGUAAAGCGAGUGCAGGCGGUUCAAUAAGUCUGAUGUGAAAGCCUUCGGCUCAACCGGAGAAUUGCAUCAGAAACUGUUGAACUUGAGUGCAGAAGAGGAGAGUGGAACUCCAUGUGUAGCGGUGGAAUGCGUAGAUAUAUGGAAGAACACCAGUGGCGAAGGCGGCUCUCUGGUCUGCAACUGACGCUGAGGCUCGAAAGCAUGGGUAGCGAACAGGAUUAGAUACCCUGGUAGUCCAUGCCGUAAACGAUGAAUGGUA
rnacentral:rRNA from 1 species